rnacentral:tRNA from 1 species
GGGCGGUUAGCUCAGUCGGUUAGAGCGUCUGAUUUACAUUCAGAAGGCCGGUCGUUCGAGUCGACCACCGCCCACCA